AAUGCAAGGAUGCGUUAGUCACAGACAUGCUGAAUCUAGUUUCAAAAGAAAGUCUUCUGUCCAGGAGUUUAAUGGAUAUGGUAGCAGCACAGGCACAGUACCACCGCAAUGCCCUCGCCAGACUAGAGAACAUGGUCCCAAAGAUGAUGGAGAACUUGGACAGGGACCAGCACAAGCCCACAUUCGGGACCCACCUUGAGGAGCAUCUGAGGCUACAGGACCGUGAGAUUGCGGCUCCCAUCGAGGUCCUGGUCAUGUGGCUCCUGGAGCUUGGUAUCGAGGAAGAGGGCCUCUUUAGGUUGGGCGGGAACCAGUCCAAGAUGAAACUUCUCAAGGCCGCCUUUGAUGCCAAUAUUGAGCUUGAUUUAGUGGACUUUGAAUUCCAAGAACACUCCAUUGCUGCUGUACUGAAGCUGUAUUUGAGAGAACUUCCAGCUCCUUUAUUGACCUUUAACCUUUAUUCCGAUUUCAUUGAAGCGGGCAGCGUCAAAGAUCCAAACCUGAAGAAAGAGGCCUUGAAAAAGGUCGUCGAGAAACUCCCAAAAUGCUACUAUGAUAAUUUACGGUAUCUUUGUCGGUUCUUGAAGGUAGUAGCGGACAGGAGCGAUAAGAACAAGAUGAACUCGUCAAAUCUUUCACUAGUAAUAGCACCAAACAUGCUCUGGUCUGAAAAGGACGAUUUAGGGACAUCAAUAGGAGCAGCGCCAGGCAUCGUAGAGUCCUUCAUCUCGCACGCAGAAUGGUACUUUCCGGGAGAGAUGGAUUUUCCGGUGCCAUUACCGCCGACACCCUCACCGAAAACCAAUUCGAUACCAGACUCCAACUCGCUCUCGCCGAAGACUCCCGACGGGACCACGCCUUCUCCGGUAUCCGCCUCCAAUGCCACAACGACCCAUUCCGUCCCUUCAUCGCACCCUCCCCUAGGUCCCCCGCCCGGCCCCCCGCCGGGUCCCCCGCCCAACCCUCCUACCGCCAUUCCACCCCCUCCCUCGCAGACUGCACCUUUGGUCACCAUAGACGGCAUCGGUCCACCUGAAAAUAGCCACAGCCCCGCCGGUCACAACCAACCUGGAGUCAACUUCACCAAACGAAGAGCACCUCUGCCACCACCACCGCCUAAGCCCCCCAAGGGUGACCGUCCGCCCUCCUCCAGCACCCCUAAGAGUCCAGUCUACCCACCCCCUCGCCCACCGCCCAAAACCAACUCACUCUAGGACCACUAGCCGUCCGUAGUGCCUCCUUGUAGCGAUGCAUGCAGCAUGUCCAUUAUUUAGACCCAUCAGAAACUCUACACUUCCUAGGAAGUCAGUAAAGAGAGCCCACGCCCCUCCCCCACCCGUCAGUGUAUCGCCGAGCCCUUCACCGACAAAUAGCUUGACGCGGAAUACCCAGCCUCCGGGAGCGCAGACGUCCAAUCAGAACACUCAAAACAAUCAUAGCAGUCCCGAGUUAACAAGGAAAGGAAGCGAGUCCAACCCGCUUACAACAAAUGGCUCAAUAUCCAAGCCGGAACGCCCUCCCGAUAAGCCCCCCGUCGCGGGGAAGCCUCCUAAGGUCGACAAACCGGUCAUUGCAGGGAAGCCCACCAUCGCCGACAAACCGCCCAUCACCGAAAAACCCACCAAGCCCGAUAAACCCAUAGUUGCAGUACCUAGUCCUACCAAGGAGCGUCCAGGCUCGGGGCGGGAUAGUGUCGACGGGACUGUCCUGUUGCCGAAUCCCCCUUCGCCGAACAGCAAACCUAAAUCAGCAGCGAUACAAAGACCUACCAUGCUCCCCCCUCCCCCGCCUCCUACCCCCAAGACAGCAGAUACAAAGGACGGUGUGAAAAACCAAAAUAGUUUUGAUACGGACUUGUGACAUGGGCAAGCCGAAAUGUAGCUGUUUUAGAGAUGACUUUGAGAUACCUUUCUGUUUCCUGCAGCAUACGUCACUUCAUUUAUAGCCAAAUUACGUCUAGCCAUGAUAUAGUUGUAUUGACAACCACGGAUAGAUACAGAUUCUAACUGCUCUGUUUAUUUUGUGUGUAAAGCAUCCGCUCUUCUUAUUUCAAGAUACUUUCUUGAGACUACACAAUCUAUAUAAAAUGUUACGUAAUUUUUCCAAUUUAUAUACAAUGUAUUUUCAUACCAUGUCCGCGGGUACUUCUCCUGGGAGCAAACAGCGGCCAUCUUGUGCAAAUCACUUCGAUUGAGCAAUCUUUCUUCUGCUUGUGUACACCAUGGAAUCUCGUCUGAAGGCUUAUAGUUGAUGAAUAUACUAUGUGUACAGAAAUAUGAAACUAUAUCUUUUUUGAGAUCAAAUAUUGUUGUUCAUGUUACAUGUAUAUGAAAUAUUUAUUGAUAUUGAUGUUGGGCCAUGCUGCAUAUAUUUCUGUUUUGAUAAUUAUUGCAUAGUUUUUUUGUUGUUGAAUCAUAUUUGAGAGUCUACAGGGUUAGAGUGAGAUGAUAUUUUAUGACUGGUCAAUUUAUUUGCAUGUCAUUUUCCUUUACCCCCUGUUUCCCCUCCCUACAAACAUGUACCAUUUUAUGAAAUAGAGGAAGCUCUGAUUUCUUCAAAUUAAUUUUCUUCAUUCAUAAAAGAUAUCAAUUAUGUACAACACUGUAAAAGAUGACAAAUUCUGUAACUGAGUUUUUCACAGAUGAGAGCAGUAAUAUAAUCUUAAGCCAAAAAAAAAUUAUUUAGCUAUAACCUGACUGACUCUUUGCAAACCUGCAGACUUUUAAUUUUUCAUUCAAAUAUGAUAUAAAAAAUAUGCCAACUGACCCUAACUUUCAUUGUUUUGUCUGAUAUAUUUUUAAAUGGCGAAUGACGCAGAAGAUCAUCAUCCAUUGCCGCAAACAGACAAAGUUUUUAGGCCUUAUCUUUUUUUAUGUAGUUCUGUAAGGAGGGAGAACUGUUUUCUUGAUGAAACGUCUCAUCAAAUUGGCAAUAAUUAUCUCUAUAUGUGUAGUGCAGCAUGGCCUUUCCCAUCAUUUUUGUAUUUUAGAAUAUUGAACAUUUUCAAGGUCCAUAUCGAGCACAUACCUGAUUUUCCACGCUCUGACAGAAAAGAAUGAGUGUUGUUUCCAUAGUGUUCUACCAAAAACUUGAAGGGUAUUUUGUUUUAUUUUUGCUUCUGUGAAAAAGUUAAAGCGAAGAAUUUUGUGUAUUAUUUUCUACCUUGCGCAAGUUGCAAUACACGGCAGAGGCAAAUGAUGCAGAAAUGAUCCUAUUUUAAUAACCCUAAUGUAUUGCUUGUCUAUGAAUACCUUUUAAAUCAAAAUUUUACUCUGUCUGGAUAAAUAAAGUGCGAUCAGAAAUGCAAAUUAUCAACGUUCUCACACACACGAGCAGAGGUCUCCUUUUACUGGCAUGAAAUAAAUUUAGGGAAAUACUGGACCCUUGUCCCUGCCGAUAAAAGUCAGAUAAAAACUGAAGGAUGAUUCAUAAAGCUGUUUGUAAAGAUAUGCAUAUUACAUUAUUUGCUAAUGUAAAAGUCCAGUUCAAGUAGGUGGUAUUUUACACGAAGAUUGUAGUGUUAACUUAAUAUUUUCUGUGAAUGAAAUAAAAGGAAAAAAAAAGAUUUUGAACAAUUUUGAAUGAACUAGCAAAAAUUUAUCAACACUUAUUUAAUUUAUCAGAAGUAUGAAUUAUGAGAAAAAGCUUUGGACUUGCACUUUGACUCUUCUUAGUCUAGUCAUUUGUAAGAUUAUGUAUAACUAAAAAAAACAGCUUUAUGAAUCAAGCUCAUGAAUCAUAAGAUGUUUCCAAUUUUAAAUUAACUUUUCCUUUCCAAUCAAAGGCAAACAAAACUUCACAUGAUGAAUACCAUAGUUUAGUUAUCCUAGGGUUAACUUCGUUACACUUUUAUGGAGUGCCAGUUGUUAAUCUAUUUGCCAAGUAAAGAUUUUUCCCAUUCUACGGGAAAAAGUUGUCCAAAAAACUAAUUGUGACGGGAAAUGGGAAGUACUAGAAAAUGCCAAAAUAUAAUGAAUUUGAA